rnacentral:lncRNA from 1 species
AUCUGUGAACCAGAAAGUUGGAUCUGCAUAAAUAGAGAAAAAUUCAUGUUUAUGGAGAAGACAAUUGAAUAUUGUGAAGAUGUCUUUCACUAAAAUGAUCUACAAAUUCAAAGCCAUAUCUGUCAAAAUCCCAGCUGUCAUUUUUAUAGCUGUACACACUGAUACUUAAAGGCAACAAGUUGACAAAUGGACAUGAAUUUCACCUCUGAGAGUUUCAUAAGCUGGUAUUGUCCUGACAUUGCAAAGUGUUUACCACAAAGAUCCUGUACAUCCAUCAUCCAGGGCCAGCGUUUGCCUGAUUCUAAUUCCACUGACAUUGAAAUCUACAGCUCUCUUUUUAUAGCUCACAGAUGUCUUCCUUAAGGACCCGAGAGCCAUCUUUGAAACAUAAGUAUCAAGUCAGAUAGCACACCUAUCUUUCAGUUUACGUGACAAGUGCCUUGGAAAUACGACCUAUUGAAUGUCUACUUUCAUGAGCUGAAAUAUUCAUAGGUCAUGAAGCCACAGAAUGGAAGAGGCCUUGAUCAUCUAAUCACAGCUUGGAGGGUAGCUUAGACAAGAGGGCCAUCCAACCAACGUUGCGAUUUAUAAGAAUAAGAAGUUAACUGAUAAAGAC